rnacentral:lncRNA from 1 species
UCUUUGAAUUUGAUUAGGAAAGAAGACGAAAGCUAUUCAUUUGAAUCCAAGGUCCACCUGUGAGUUGGCUAUAGGGCUUGUCAACACCAGAAACAAGAGAAGAGGAGAAAAGUCCACCAUAUCAGUGCAGGUCUAUCUCCAGUGCUAGCUGUGGUGGCUUUGGAGUGACAGAAGAUCAUCACCUUCAACCUAGUAAAAGAAUAUUAGGACACUGACCCAAGACAUAUUGAGAACCAAGGCCAAGACUGUGUAGAGCUAUCUAUAUAACUAGGCUUCAGCUAUGCCUGGAGCUAAGAAUAGAAGGAAUAGGAAUAGAAAGAAUGAGA